rnacentral:rRNA from 1 species
AUUGAACGCUAGCGGGAUGCUUUACACAUGCAAGUCGAACGGCAGCGCGGACUUCGGUCUGGCGGCGAGUGGCGAACGGGUGAGUAAUGUAUCGGAACGUGCCCAGUAGCGGGGGAUAACUACGCGAAAGCGUAGCUAAUACCGCAUACGCCCUACGGGGGAAAGCAGGGGAUCGUAAGACCUUGCACUAUUGGAGCGGCCGAUAUCGGAUUAGCUAGUUGGUGAGGUAACGGCUCACCAAGGCGACGAUCCGUAGCUGGUUUGAGGGGACGACCAGCCACCCUGGGACUGAGACACGGCCCAGACUCCUACGGGAGGCAGCAGUGGGGAAUUUUGGACAAUGGGGGCAACCCUGAUCCAGCCAUCCCGCGUGUGCGAUGAAGGCCUUCGGGUUGUAAAGCACUUUUGGCAGGAAAGAAACGUCGCGGGCUAAUACCCCGUGGAACUGACGGUACCUGCAGAAUAAGCACCGGCUAACUACGU